UACAGAGGUCUCAAGCGUUGUUCGGAUUCAUUGGGCGUAAAGGGUGCGUAGGCGGCGCGGUAAGUCGGGUGUGAAAUCUCGGAGCUUAACUCCGAAACUGCAUUCGAUACUGCCGUGCUUGAGGACUGGAGAGGAGACUGGAAUUUCCGGUGUAGCGGUGAAAUGCGUAGAUAUCGUAAGGAAGACCAGUGGCGAAGGCGGGUCUCUGGACAGUUCCUGACGCUGAUGCACGAAGGCCAGGGGAGCAAACGGG
rnacentral:rRNA from 1 species